rnacentral:lncRNA from 1 species
UUCUGAUGCCUACUAGAUACUGAAAUGUCAGUGGUAGCAAUUCUUUAGGGCUGCGGGCCAGAAAAUGGGGCAUCCAGUUCUAGGGACUGGAUAAAGGAGUCUAAUAUGGCGGCAGAUUCCAAUGCGGAGGACGGGGGCAGUUAGGGAUCUCCGAGUCUUUGAGAACUUUGGUCCUGAGAAACAACUCUUGUGAUUCCUUCCCCACAGAACAAGCCUGCAAAAGUCUGGUAGAAGAGGAUGAGAAAUAGCUAUCCCUCCUCUGGGUGGGCGACAAACACCCAAGGAGCCUGUUCACAGGACGUGGAUGUGUUGGGCACAGGAUCUAUAGAAAUAGACUGUACUCCAGGCCAGGAAAGUUUGCAGCACAGAAACAUUGAUUGGAAGUAAAUUGAGUAAAUGAAUUGUGGAGUUAAGCUGAACUAUCAUAAAGAAACCUAAAACAUGAGCCAAUUGUCAAAGAUUCACGCACCAAGGUGGACUUUCCAGUGGAUCAGACCCACAAUUUCACCCAGCUCCUGGGACACAGAGAAG